rfam:Dipodomys ordii contig_51230, whole genome shotgun sequence.
GGGAAGGUGGCUCAGUGGUAGAGCGCUUGCCUUGCAUGUCUGAGGCCCUGGGUUCGAUUCCUCAGCCCCA